rnacentral:rRNA from 1 species
AGAGUUUGAUCCUGGCUCAGGAUGAACGCUAGCGGCAGGCUUAACACAUGCAAGUCGAGGGGCAGCGGGGAGGAAGCUUGCUUUCUCCGCCGGCGACCGGCGCACGGGUGAGUAACACGUAUGCAACCUGCCCCUGUCAGGGAGACAACCCGCCGAAAGGCGGGCUAAACCCGCGUACAUGCCACCGGGGCAUCCCGGAGGCAGGAAAGGCUUCGGCCGGACAGGGAUGGGCAUGCGGCGCAUUAGGCAGUAGGCGGGGUAACGGCCCACCUAACCGACGAUGCGUAGGGGUUCUGAGAGGAAGGUCCCCCACACUGGUACUGAGACACGGACCAGACUCCUACGGGAGGCAGCAGUGAGGAAUAUUGGUCAAUGGUCGGGAGACUGAACCAGCCAAGCCGCGUGAGGGAUGAAGGUACAGAGUAUCGUAAACCUCUUUUGUCAGGGAACAAAGGCGGGGACGCGUCCCCGGAUGAGUGUACCUGAAGAAAAAGCAUCGGCUAACUCCGUGCCAGCAGCCGCGGUAAUACGGAGGAUGCGAGCGUUAUCCGGAUUUAUUGGGUUUAAAGGGUGCGCAGGCGGUCUGUUAAGUCAGCGGUCAAAGCCCCGGGGCUCAACCCCGGGCCCGCCGUUGAAACUGGCAGUCUCGAGUUGGAGAGAAGUAUGCGGAAUGCGCGGUGUAGCGGUGAAAUGCAUAGAUAUCGCGCAGAACUCCGACUGCGAAGGCAGCCUUCCGGCGCCCUACUGACGCUGAGGCACGAAAGUGCGGGGAUCGAACAGGAUUAGAUACCCUGGUAGUCCGCACAGUAAACGAUGAAUGCCAGCUGUCCGGGCCGAAUGGGGCCUGGGUGGCAAAGCGAAAGCGUUAAGCAUCCCACCUGGGGAGUACGCCGGCAACGGUGAAACUCAAAGGAAUUGACGGGGGCCCGCACAAGCGGAGGAACAUGUGGUUUAAUUCGAUGAUACGCGAGGAACCUUACCCGGGCUCAAACGCGUCAGGGAUCCCCUUUGAAAGGAGGGGAGUCAGCAAUGACCUGGCGCGAGGUGCUGCAUGGUUGUCGUCAGCUCGUGCCGUGAGGUGUCGGCUUAAGUGCCAUAACGAGCGCAACCCCUACCGACAGUUGCUAACUGGUGAAGCAGAGGACUCUGUCGGGACUGCCGGCGCAAGCUGCGAGGAAGGCGGGGAUGACGUCAAAUCAGCACGGCCCUUACGUCCGGGGCGACACACGUGUUACAAUGGCAGGUACAGCGGGAAGCCACCGGGCGACCGGGCGCGGAACCCGAGAACCUGUCUCAGUUCGGAUCGGAGUCUGCAACCCGACUCCGUGAAGCUGGAUUCGCUAGUAAUCGCGCAUCAGCCACGGCGCGGUGAAUACGUUCCCGGGUCUUGCACUCACCGCCCGUCA